GGACCCGCACAAGCGGUGGAGCAUGUGGUUUAAUUCGAUGCAACGCGAAAAACCUUACCUACUCUUGACAUACUUGGGAGCUCUUGUAAUGAGAGUGUGCCUUUUGGAACCAAGAUACAGGUGCUGCAUGGCUGUCGUCAGCUCGUGUCGUGAGAUGUUCCGUUAAGUCGGAUAACGAGCGCAACCCCUUACCCCUUUAUUUGCCAGCGAUUCGGUCGGGAACUAUAAGGGGACUGCCGGUGAUAAACCGGAGGAAGGUGAGGACGACGUCAAGUCAUCAUGGCCCUUACGAGUAGGGCUACACACGUGCUACAAUGGGGAAUACAGACGGACGCUAAGCCGCAAGGUGGUGCU
rnacentral:rRNA from 1 species